rnacentral:rRNA from 1 species
GACGUAGGGCGCGAGCGUUGUUCGGAAUUACUGGGCGUAAAGAGCGUGUAGGCGGCCUGGUAGGUCUGCUGUGAAAACUCGAGGCUCAACCUCGAGACGUCGAUGGAAACCAUCUAGCUAGAGUCCGGAAGAGGAGAGUGGAAUUCCUGGUGUAGCGGUGAAAUGCGCAGAUAUCAGGAAGAACACCCGUGGCGAAGGCGGCUCUCUGGUACGUGACUGACGCUGAGACGCGAAAGCGUGGGGAGCGAACAGG